rnacentral:tRNA from 2 species
UGGGGUAUCGCCAAGCGGUAAGGCACUGGUUUUUGGUACCAGUAUUCGCAGGUUCGAAUCCUGCUACCCCAUCCA